rnacentral:rRNA from 1 species
GAUGAACGCUGGCGGCGUGCUUGACACAUGCAAGCCGAGCGAAGCGAUUUUAAGGAAGCUUUCGGGUGGAAUUAAGAUUGACUGAGCGGCGGACGGGUGAGUAACGCGUGGGUAACCUGCCUCAUACAGGGGGAUAACAGUUAGAAAUGACUGCUAAUACCGCAUAAGCGCACAGUGCUGCAUAGCACAGUGUGAAAAACUCCGGUGGUAUGAGAUGGACCCGCGUCUGAUUAGGUAGUUGGUAGGGUAACGGCCUACCAAGCCGACGAUCAGUAGCCGACCUGAGAGGGUGACCGGCCACAUUGGGACUGAGACACGGCCCAAACUCCUACGGGAGGCAGCAGUGGGGAAUAUUGGACAAUGGGGGAAACCCUGAUCCAGCGACGCCGCGUGAGUGAAGAAGUAUUUCGGUAUGUAAAGCUCUAUCAGCAGGGAAGAAAAUGACGGUACCUGACUAAGAAGCCCCGGCUAACUACGUGCCAGCCGCCGCGGUAA